rnacentral:rRNA from 1 species
CAUGCAUGUCUAAGUACACACGAAUUAAAAGUGAAACCGCAAAAGGCUCAUUAUAUCAGUUAUGGUUCCUUAGAUCGUUAACAGUUACUUGGAUAACUGUGGUAAUUCUAGAGCUAAUACAUGCAAUAUAAACACGGACCUUAUGGAACGUGUGCUUUUAUUAGGCUAAAACCAAGCGAUUUUUACGGAAAUCGUUAUACUGGUUGAACUCUAGAUAACUUGCUGAUCGUAUGGUCUCGUACCGACGACAGAUCUUUCAAAUGUCUGCCCUAUCAACUUUUGAUGGUAGUAUCUAGGACUACCAUGGUUGCUACGGGUAACGGGGAAUCAGGGUUCGAUUCCGGAGAGGGAGCCUGAGAAACGGCUACCACAUCUAAGGAAGGCA